CGGAGUUUGUUUUCGGUAUUUUUCCUAUCUCCUUGGCGCUGCAGCACAUGCAGAUGUCGCUGUUGUUCUUUAUAAAGCUCUAAUGAUAUGCAAAAGCAUAACUACUCGGUUUGGAUGCAAAGCAUCAAUGAAAUAUUAUGGAUGUCUUUAAGAAGGGGAGAGAAAAUCCUGACUGAAGGAAUGUCCACAUAAAUUAUUUUUAUUUAAAUCAAUUCAAAGGAUGGGGUGAGAGCAAGUCAGAAGGAGUCACAUGGAAAACAUGCAUAAUAUUAAUAUGCAUAAAGAGUUCGAACCGUGGAGAAGAAGCUCCUCACUACAGCUCAUGGGACAAACUGGUUCAUUAGGAGAUAGCUCAGAGCGACUACAGCAUUUUGCUAUUUCAAUUUUUUCCUUAUUUUAAAUGAAGAGUAAGACAGAUGUGUUUUCUUUGCAUGGCAGAAUCGAGAUGGAUCCAAUCUGUGAAAUUUGCUACCCAAAUAGUAUUUUAAUGGAAACCGGAAUUAAAUAAGGGCAUGAAUAUGGAAGGGAGGGGAGAAGAGAGAAUAUACGAAGAGGAGUAUAUUCAGAGCCACAGCAUAAUAUUUCGUAGUACAGGAGGUUUUCAGAAACCAUCUUUGCUUCUUCAUUGGUCUCAGAUGGGGCUCCCAUUACAGGGAGCUAUCAGGGUUUGCCAAGAUGAGCACCGAGACAGGCCCUUCUAGGUCUGAGGCUGAGGAAAGCAGCGGCAACUUGGUGCCUGCCCCCCGCAGCUGUCUACAGCUCAGAAGCCAAAAGCACAGCUACUCCUAAUUUGGGGAUGCAGUAGAGUGCCUCCUGGUCCAGCCAAAGGUCCCUUCUUUGAUCAAAAUCCUUCAGUGGCCUCCUGUCUCAUUUGAAGUCAAAGCCAAAGUACUUACCUUGACUUACUGGGCCCUACUUGAUAUGACCACACCUCCACCUGCACUCCUCUGACCUCAUUUCCUACUAGUCUUCAUCUUCUUCACUCUACUCCAGCUUCCAGUGGUCUCUUCAUUGUUCCUGGAACGUGUCAGAAUGCUAUCUUCCAAAAGCACUUAUAAGAAGAGAAAAUGUUUGUGUUAGAGACAUCCUUUCAACUCCUCUCUACUUUGGAAUGAGGUCCAUCCACGUCUCUACAAAUGACCCAACUUCAUUCCUUUUUAUGGACUUGAAUAAAAAACACCUGCGCUUCCAAGCAGCUUGAAUUUCCUUAACAGCAAUGUGAGAGAUAAUGUGAGAUACUUUUCAAAUUCCCCUUGGAUGAAGGAUUUGUUGCCCAGCUGCUGAGAGAGUGGUCAACCAUCAUCUGACAGGCCCUUCUACGAUGGCCUCGACUGCAGAAACCCACAUUCUCUAAGGUUGAGUCUCUUCUCAGGGCAGCCUGCAUCCAACAACAGAUCAAAAUGGGAAUAUAAAGGCUUGACCCUCUUGCCCCAACUCCAGAUAACUCUACAAAGCUAGUCAAGGCCCAGAGUUCUUCAUGGGGUCAGUCCAGGAUGGCAUUUGGCCUUCCGGCAGCUUGACUUUUCCUGCUACCCAGUCCUGCUCUCUUCCCCUGCCUUCACAAAUGUUGACCCCAAGGGCACUCCUUAAUAAACACCCUGCAAGCUAAACUCCCUUUCAGAGUCUACAUCCUGGGGAGCCAGCCAGGGACAGUUAGUACCAUUAGUGAUUCAAGAAAGCAAGCAUUCAGAUGGAGUUUGGAACUGAAACACUCACCUCCUGGCUGACAGAAAAGUGGCAUAAGGGAACUUUCUGAGGUGAUGUA